rnacentral:rRNA from 1 species
GACGAACGCUGGCGGCGUGCUUAACACAUGCAAGUCGAGCGGAGCGGCGAACGGGUGAGUAACUCGUGAGUAACUGCCCCCCUCUCUGGGAUAACAGUUGGAUACGGCUGCUAAUACCGGAUAGUGGGGGAUGACUCGCGUCCUAUUCGCUUGUUGGUGGGGUAGUGGCCUACCAAGGCGUCGACGGGUUGCCGGCCUGGGAGGGCGGCCGGCCACAUUGGGCUGAGAUACGGACCAAACUGCUACGGGAGGCAGCAGGGGGGAAUAUAGCACGAUGGGGGAAACACUGAUGCAGCAACGCCGCGUGCGGGAUGGCGGCCUUCGGGUGGUAAACAGCUUUCAGCCAUGACGCGGUAGUGGCAGAAGAAGCACCGGCUAACUACGUGCCAGCAGCCGCGGUAAUUC